CAGCAAGUUUGUGAUAUCUGCCAAAUCCUCUUCAAAAUCAAUUCCUGAUGUGGAGUCUGUCUCAUUCAUUAGGGGACCAGCUGAAAUAACUAUUUGUUGGAAAGGACGAUCACUAGCUACUUGUUGUUUGCCUUUCUAGGUUUUACUUUAUCUUCCUCCAUAGAUUUUGAAGAUGAGAUACUUUUAGAGGGUUGAACAGUAAAUGAAGAAGGCUAAGCUUUUGGUUUAGGCUUUUCUUGAAAAGGAUUAUGAAAUGGUGAUUGAGGAUAAGGGUUUGACUGAUAGAAUGGCUUAUAAGUAGAGGGUGGAUAAAAUGAAGAAAAAGAAUUAUAAUCACAAGGGGAAAGAAACGGAUUAUGAUGGUCAUAGUCAAAUGGUGAUGGUUUCCUUUUGGCCAAGUCAGCUUCUAUCUGAGCAAUUUGAACUUUUAACUUUUUGAUUUCUGACUCCUUUUGCUCAAAUUCAUAGCCAAACAUUUUCUACUAAAGUAAGGCUCUGAGGUCUUUAUCAAGUUGAUUGACCCUAGACUAAAGAUCAACAUAAAGUUUAUUGACUUGGGCUUAUAAAUUAUCAAUCUUUGUUUCAGUCAAUUGGGCUUUUUCGACUAUCAGGUCCAUUUUUGAGUCAAUUUUUUUCAGGAAAGCAUUUUGAGCCUUGGCAUUUAAAGUCUGCCAGUUGAGGACCUCUUCAGUAUGAGUUAAUGGCUAGGUUGUCCGUCUGAGCUAACAGCAAAUGUUUGAAUAAAUGGCCUAGAUGUAAGCUAU
rnacentral:misc_RNA from 1 species